rnacentral:tRNA from 1 species
UUAGGGGUGUCAGAGAUUAUAUGAGUUUGUUUUAGGUACAAAAUACAGGAAGUUUCCUCCCUUGAU